CAGAGAUGCUUUAGUGCCUUCGGGAACUCUGAGACAGGUGCUGCAUGGCUGUCGUCAGCUCGUGUUGUGAAAUGUUGGUUAAGUCCCGCAACGAGCGCAACCCUUAUCCUUUGUUGCCAGCACGUAAUGGUGGGAACUCAAAGGAGACUGCCGGUGAUAAACCGGAGGAAGGUGGGGAUGACGUCAAGUCAUCAUGGCCCUUACGAGUAGGGCUACACACGUGCUACAAUGGCGCAUACAAAGAGAAGCGACCUCGCGAGAGCAAGCGGACCUCAUAAAGUGCGUCGUAGUCCGGAUUGGAGUCUGCAACUCGACUCCAUGAAGUCGGAAUCGCUAGUAAUCGUAAAUCAGAAUGUUACGGUGAAUACGUUCCCGGGCCUUGUACACACCGCCCGUCACACCAUGGGAGUGGGUUGCAAAAGAAGUAGAUAGCUUAACCUUCGGGAGGGCGUUUACCACUUUGUGAUUCAUGACUGGGGUGAAGUCGUAACAAGGUAGGCGUAGCGAG
rnacentral:rRNA from 1 species